rnacentral:tRNA from 2 species
GGAGGGGUAGCAAAGUGGCCAAAUGCAUCCGGCUGUAACCCGGCUCCGAAAGGUUCGGGGGUUCGAAUCCCUCCCCCUCCACCA